CCUACGGGGUGCAGCAGUCGAGAAUCAUUCACAAUGGGGGAAACCCUGAUGGUGCGACGCCGCGUGGGGGAAUGAAGGUCUUCGGAUUGUAAACCCCUGUCAUGUGGGAGCAAAUUAAAAAGAUAGUACCACAAGAGGAAGAGACGGCUAACUCUGUGCCAGCAGCCGCGGUAAUACAGAGGUCUCAAGCGUUGUUCGGAAUCACUGGGCGUAAAGCGUGCGUAGGCUGUUUCGUAAGUCGUGUGUGAAAGGCGCGGGCCCAACCCGCGGACGGCACAUGAUACUGCGAGACUAGAGUAAAGGAGGGGGAACCGGAAGUGUCGGUGGAGGAGGGAAAUGGGGAG
rnacentral:rRNA from 1 species